GCGGGAUAGCUCAGUUGGUAGAGAAAUAGACUCUUUAGGGUUGUGGGUUUGAGCCCCACGUUGGGCA